rnacentral:rRNA from 1 species
AUUGAACGCUGGCGGCAUGCCUUACACAUGCAAGUCGAACGGUAACGGGCCUUCGGGUGCCGACGAGUGGCGAACGGGUGAGUAAUGUAUCGGAACGUACCUUUCAGUGGGGGAUAACGUAGCGAAAGUUACGCUAAUACCGCAUAUUCUGUGCGCAGGAAAGCAGGGGAUCGCAAGACCUUGCGCUGAUUGAGCGGCCGAUAUCAGAUUAGCUAGUUGGUGAGGUAAAGGCUCACCAAGGCGACGAUCUGUAGCGGGUCUGAGAGGAUGAUCCGCCACACUGGAACUUAGGCACGGUCCAGACUCCUACGGGAGGCAGCAGUAGGGAAUUUUGGACAAUGGGGGCAACCCUGAUCCAGCCAUGCCGCGUGAGUGAAGAAGGCCUUCGGGUUGUAAAGCUCUUUCGGCCGGGAAGAAAUCGUAUCAGCUAAUACCUGGUGCGGAUGACGGUACCGGCAUAAGAAGCACCGGCUAACUACGUGCCAGCCGCCGCCGUAACAC